rnacentral:lncRNA from 1 species
GGCCGUGGAAGGUAGGCUCGCUGGCCGGAGCAACUGCAAUAGUUGUUGGUCGGCCCGACGCAGUGCCUCAGCCCCGCCUCCUCUGUUGCAGCACACACGCAUGAGAGGGGCAGAUGUGUCGUCACUGGUGGCAAGUUCAGCGGCCGCCGCCUCCUCUUUUCUUCAAAUCCAGUAAGCCCUCUCGUGAGUGCAUAAGGGGAUGUCGUGCCCUCGAGUCCUCAACUACGGUGAAGCACCAGGUCCACAUGAGCUCCUCCUUCAAUCUGCGUGCCUGAUUUCUUAAUUUUUCAUGAAUGCACAUAGCUGAAGACAGUGGCGGAGCCAGAAAUUUCUUCCUUGGUAAUCAUUUGUGCAAUUUUAUAUCAAUAUGACAACAAAUAUACAGCAAGCCAGUAGCAGCAUACAAAUGGAUCGAACAAUUCUUUAGUAUUUCAUGGAAGUCCGGGGAAGACCCCUAGCGCCGCCACUGUCUGAAGAUUUUUUGGUUCCCUCAUCUAGAUUUCUUCUGAAGUGUGCAGGUUGUUAUUCCUUAUCAAGGAGAGCCUUAAUCAACCACACAAGAAUUUGGAUUGAAAUGAGACAGAUUCCCUAUACUAUAUUCCCUAGCCAAAUAUAGUUCAGAGGUUGAAUGAACAUUACUGCUACAAAUUUGGCUAGGGAAUCUGUCUCAUUUUAAUAUUGCAAUGAAGUGGUUGGGAUGGAGAGGAUUUUUUACUUGUCUAAGGUAAUAUUUGUUAGGUCUAUUCCUGCCAAAAAAUGUACUAAAUGUUUGUUAGUGUCCUCUUCUUUAAUUGGUUUAUAUAUUCAACUUGAUUCCUUAGCAUUCAAAUGGAAUAUACUAAAUUGGCUUUCACCUUUUUGUCCACUACUCACAGAUAUCACAAGAAGCAUCAAUGUUUUCUUAGCAUUCAAAUCGACAUUCAUGGGAUCACUUAUGGCCACAUGUAUACUAGUUGCAAUUAAUAUUGCUUUCUCAAAUUCUGAUAUCUAAAGCCUGUACUGCCUGAACAAAUCAAUGGGCUUAUAUACAUUCUGAUAUAUAUUUUCUAAAUACAUCUGUAGAUUCCCAUACCCUUUUUAGAUCCAAUUGUAAUUGUUUUGCAUUUGUCUUUGGAUUGUUUUUAUACACCCCAAGGUAAUAUUCAAGGACAACCAAGCAUUCAAGCUUAGGGAUGCCCAGGAUGGCAUCCCCUCUUUUGUCUUCGUUUCAUCGGUAAAUUUACUUCAGGCUAUAUUUUUAUUCACCACACGAUAUGUGUUUUGCUUGGAGCGUCUUGUAUGAUAUGAGUAUUUGGUUUUAGUUUACCAUAAUCGUUCUUGAUGUACACACUUUUUGAGAGGGACACACAUGAAUCGUGAAUUUAUUAGAAUACUCUAUGUGCUUCACUUAUAUCUUGAGCUAGCACUACAAAAAAAUACACUUCCAUGAUGAUACGUGUUUGUCACAGUAGGUCACAUUUUCUGUCAUGAAUGUACAUCCAUGAAAAUUUUAUGACAGAAUAAAGAUAGUCAUACUCAUGCCGUCGUAGAAGUGUUCCAUUACAUUACCAGAAUUGUCAUCACUGAAGUGUCCACUUCCAUGACGAUAAAUGGCGCGUCAUGGAAGUGCUUUCGUCAAGGGUGACCGACACGUGGCAUCCACC